GAAAUAUCAUGAGUUUGUAUAUUUCCCAAUUGACCCUUAGAAACUAAAAAUUUUAAACGACUAGCGGAAACAUGUCCAAGGCGAGAAUGCCACAAAUAAAAACUAGAAGACGAUGAAUUCAAAGAAAAAGAUGACAAAUCAACACCAGAGGCUGCAACGUGUGAUGAUCUUAAAUUGUCCAGAACAUAUAACCCCCCUUGUCUACGGC
rnacentral:lncRNA from 1 species